AGUGAACGCUGGCGGUAGGCCUAACACAUGCAAGUCGAGCGGCAGCACAGGAGAGCUUGCUCUCUGGGUGGCGAGUGGCGGACGGGUGAGGAAUACAUCGGAAUCUACUUUUUCGUGGGGGAUAACGUAGGGAAACUUACGCUAAUACCGCAUACGACCUACGGGUGAAAGCAGGGGAUCUUCGGACCUUGCGCGAUUGAAUGAGCCGAUGUCGGAUUAGCUAGUUGGCGGGGUAAAGGCCCACCAAGGCGACGAGCCGUAGCUGGUCUGAGAGGAUGAUCAGCCACACUGGAACUGAGACACGGUCCAGACUCCUACGGGAGGCAGCAGUGGGGAAUAUUGGACAAUGGGCGCAAGCCUGAUCCAGCCAUACCGCGUGGGUGAAGAAGGCCUUCGGGUUGUAAAGCCCUUUUGUUGGGAAAGAAAUCCAGCUGGUUAAUACCCGGUUGGGAUGACGGUACCCAAAGAAUAAGCACCGGCUAACUUCGUGCCAGCAGCCGCAGUAA
rnacentral:rRNA from 1 species